AUUUGGACAGAGAAAUUAAAAAAUGGC
rnacentral:piRNA from 1 species